AACGAACGCUGGCAGCAUGCCUAACACAUGCAAGUCGAACGAGAUCUUCGGGUCUAGUGGCGCACGGGUGCGUAACGCGUGGGAAUCUGCCCUUUGGUUCGGAAUAACAGUUGGAAACGACUGCUAAUACCGGAUGAUGACGAAAGUCCAAAGAUUUAUCGCCAGAGGAUGAGCCCGCGUAGGAUUAGCUAGUUGGUGUGGUAAAGGCGCACCAAGGCGACGAUCCUUAGCUGGUCUGAGAGGAUGAUCAGCCACACUGGGACUGAGACACGGCCCAGACUCCUACGGGAGGCAGCAGUGGGGAAUAUUGGACAAUGGGCGAAAGCCUGAUCCAGCAAUACCGCGUGAGUGAUGAAGGCCUUAGGGUCGUAAAGCUCUUUUACCCGGGAUGAUAAUGACAGUACCGGGAGAAUAAGCUCCGGCUAACUCCGUGCCAGCCGCCGCAGUAA
rnacentral:rRNA from 1 species